AGAGUUUGAUCCUGGCUCAGAGCGAACGCUGGCGGCAUGCCUAACACAUGCAAGUCGCGCGGGCGGGGGCUUCGGCCCCGUCAGCGGCGGACGGGUGAGGAGCGCGUAGGAACGUGUCCGGAGGCGGGGGACAACCCCGGGAAACUGGGGCUAAUACCGCGUAUCUCCCGAGGGAGAAAGCCGCAAGGCGCCUCCGGGGCGGCCUGCGUCCGAUUAGCUCGUUGGCGGGGUAACGGCCCACCAAGGCGACGAUCGGUAGCUGGUCUGAGAGGACGAUCAGCCACACUGGGACUGAGACACGGCCCAGACUCCUACGGGAGGCAGCAGUGGGGAAUAUUGGGCAAUGGGCGCAAGCCUGACCCAGCAAUGCCGCGUGGGUGAAGAAGGUCUUCGGAUUGUAAAGCCCUUUCGGCGGGGACGAUGGUGACGGUACCCGCAGAAGAAGCCCCGGCCAACUUCGUG
rnacentral:rRNA from 1 species